CUGGUUCCCACGGCAACGACUCACUCCCCUCCAGGUCACUAGAAGAUCCUAGGAGGCCAGGUGCAAAGGCACACCACCCCAAGGGUCUGGACUCUUCCUAGAAGCCAGUUCUGUCGUUGUGGUAAAAUACCCAGACACAAAGUAACGCAAUGGAGAAAGGGUAUAUUUGAGUUCACAAUUUCAAAUUACAAUGUUGUAUUGUGGGACCCUCAAGUCAGCAGGAACUCGAACAGCUAGUCACAUCAUCCUGACCAUUAAGAGCGGAGAGAGAUGACUGCAUCUGUGCUUGGUGUUCAGUUGUAGUGUCUUGGAGAAAUAUGCUGCAAUGUUUUGACUCCAUACUACUUGUACCAGAAGUCCCAACUUAUCUUUGCUGAUCCUUCAGGUCUUGCACAGAUUAAAUGAGAAAGAAGAAGGAAGGAGAGAACGAAAGAAGGAAGAUGGGGCCCAGAGAAGAGGCUCGGUUGUUCAGAGCACUGGCUACUCUGUCAGAAGACCCACAUUUGAUUCCCAGCACCCACAAGCUGGCUCACAAUGGGAUCUGUAACUCCAGUCCAAGAAGAGCCAAUGCCCUCCUUAUGACUUCUUCUGGCACUGCACACACAUGGUGCCCAGAUGCUUAUGCGG